rnacentral:rRNA from 1 species
AGAACGAACGCUGGCGGCAGGCUUAACACAUGCAAGUCGAACGGUUGUAGCAAUACAGCAGUGGCGCACGGGUGAGUAACGCGUGGGAACAUACCUUAGAGUCGGGAAUAACAGCGGGAAACUGCUGCUAAUACCCGAUAUUCUCUCCGGAGGAAAGAUUUAUCGCUCUAAGAUUGGCCCGCGUCAGAUUAGCUAGUUGGUGGGGUAACGGCCUACCAAGGCUCCGAUCUGUAGCUGGUCUGAGAGGACGACCAGCCACACUGGAACUGAGACACGGUCCAGACUCCUACGGGAGGCAGCAGUGGGGAAUAUUGGACAAUGGGCGAAAGCCUGAUCCAGCCAUGCCGCGUGAGUGAUGAAGGCCUUAGGGUUGUAAAGCUCUUUGUCAGGGAAGAUAAUGACGGUACCUGAAGAAUAAGCACCGGCUAACUUCGUGCCAGCAGCCGC